rnacentral:rRNA from 1 species
CCAGCUCAGAUUGAACGCUGGCGGCAUGCCUUACACAUGCAAGUCGAACGCGAAAGUAGGGGCAACCCUGCGAGUAGAGUGGCGAACGGGUGAGUAACACAUCGGAACGUACCCAGGAGUGGGGGACAACCUCGAGAAAUCGAGGCUAAUACCGCAUACGUCCUGAGGGAGAAAGCGGGGGAUUCGCAAGGACCUCGCGCUCAUGGAGCGGCCGAUGUCGGAUUAGCUAGUUGGCGGGGUAAAGGCCCACCAAGGCUACGAUCCGUAGCUGGUUUGAGAGAACGACCAGCCACACUGGGACUGAGACACGGCCCAGACUCCUACGGGAGGCAGCAGUGGGGAAUUUUGGACAAUGGGGGCAACCCUGAUCCAGCCAUGCCGCGUGAGUGAAGAAGGCCUUCGGGUUGUAAAGCUCUUUCGGCCGGAACGAAAUCGCGUACGUGAAUAACGUGCGUGGAUGACGGUACUGAAGAAGAAGCACCGGCA